GAUGAAGAACGUAGCGAAAUGCGAUAAGUAAUGUGAAUUGCAGAAUUCAGUGAAUCAUCGAAUCUUUGAACGCACCUUGCGCCCUUUGGCUAUUCCGAAGGGCAUGCCUGUUUGAGUAUCAUGAACACCUCAACUCUCAUGGCUUGCCGUGAUGAGCUUGGACUUUGGGGGUCUUGCUGGCCUGUGGUUGGCUCCUCUCAAAUGAAUCAGCUUACCGGUGUUUGGUGGCAUCACAGGUGUGAUAACUAUCUACGCUUGUGGUUUUCCACCAGGUUAACCUUCAGCGAUGGAGGUUCGCUGGAGCUCAUAAAUGUCUCUUCUCGGUGAGGACAGCUCUUUGAACGUUUGAUCUCAAAUCAGGUAGGACUACCCGCUGAACUUAAGCAUAUCAAUAAGCGGAGGA
rnacentral:misc_RNA from 1 species